rnacentral:lncRNA from 1 species
CUCAGCCUAGGUGAUACAUGGCUUGUCUGGACAGGCUGUUACCAGCAGGCAGACUCUGAGAUCCAGCCUUCAUAGGGGCUACUGUUACCUUACUCACUUAUUUUAAUUCUGUAAUGUCUAUCCAACUGGACAGAGUCACUAGUAAUAAUGUCCUUCAGUGGAUCACUGCUGUCCAUUCCCAACUUUUGCAUAAAACGAAGACCCAAAGGAGAAGAAAGUGG